AUGACAUGUGACUCUGUGAAAGCUAAUGACAGGCCUGGGUCUGGCUUGCUGAUUGAUAAAGGUAGAACAGACAGUGCCUGGAAAAGCACAAGAAGUAAGCAAGAAGCUGAAGAGAAGUUUCAGGAACUUGAAGGUCUCUUUUCUCAAAACCUUUCCCCCUGGGGAGGAGCAAGAUGGCGGAAGAGUAGGGUCUCCAAGUCACCUGUCUCCACCAAAUUACCUAGAAAACCUUCCAAUCAUCCGGAAAAUCUAUGAAUUCGGCCUGAGAUUUAAAGAGAGACCAGCUGGAAUGCAACAGUGAGAAGAGUUCGCGCUUCUAUCAAGGUAGGAAGACGGGGAAAAAGAAGUAAAGAAACAAAGGCCUCCAAGGGGGAGGGGCCCGCGAGGAGCCGGGCUGAGGCCGGGGCGAGUGUCCCCAGGACAGGAGAGCCCCGUCCCGUCCCGGAGGAGCAGGAGCUGCACCGACCGUCCCGGGCGGAAAGGGGCUCGACAGGGAGUUGGAGCAGGACCCAGGAGGGCGGGGAUGCCCUCGGGUUCCCUGAGACAGUAACAGAGCAACUGCGCCCCGGGAGAGUGCGCCGAGCUCCCUAAGGGCUGCAGCGCGCACGGCGGGACCCGGCGGGACCCGGAGCAGCUUGGAGGGGCUCGGGCGGCGGCUCCGCGAAGGGGGCUACACGGCCCCGGGAGCAGCUCGGAGGGGCUCAGGCAGAGGAAGAGGCUCCGUGCGGAGGGGGCUGCGCGGUUCCAGGAGCAGCUCGGAGGGGCUCGGGCGGCAGCUCCGCGGAGGGGGUUGCGCGGCCCGGGAGCGCGAAUCCACCAGCGCAGGCUCCGGAGCACAGGGCGCCGGGACACGGCCCAGGAUCCCGCCUCCCCCGGGACAGGCAGAGGCCGGGAGGACCCAGGACAGCAAGGACGCUCCUGCCCCGAGCUGAGCAGAGCAGCGGCCCCGCCCCGGAGCCUCCAGGCCCUGCAGACGGAGUUCCUGCCGGAGCUGAAUCCAGGUUUCCAGAGCUGGCCCCGCCACUGGGGCUGUUCCUCCUGCGGCCUCACGGGGUAAACAACCCCCACUGAGCCCUGCACCAGGCAGGGGCACAGCAGCUCCCCCAACUGCUAACGCCUGAAAAUCAGCACAACAGGCCCCUCCCCCAGAACACCAGCUAGACUGACAACUUCCAGGAGAAGCCAAGGGACUUAAAGUACACAGAAUCAGAAGAUACUCCCCGGUGGUUCUUUUUUUUUGUUUUUUUUGUUUUUU
rnacentral:lncRNA from 12 species